UACGGAGGGGGCUAGCGUUGUUCGGAAUUACUGGGCGUAAAGCGCACGUAGGCGGCUUUGUAAGUUAGAGGUGAAAGCCCAGGGCUCAACCCUGGAAUUGCCUUUAAGACUGCAUCGCUUGAACAUCGGAGAGGUAAGUGGAAUUCCGAGUGUAGAGGUGAAAUUCGUAGAUAUUGGGAAGAACACCGGUGGCGAAGGCGGCGAGCUGGUCCAUUACUGACGCUGAGGCGCGACAGCGUGGGGAGCAAACAGG
rnacentral:rRNA from 1 species